rnacentral:tRNA from 1 species
UGGCCCGUGGUCUAGCGGUAGGACAGUGGACUUUGACUCCUCUAACCCUGGUUCGAAUCCAGGCGGGCCAGCCA